rnacentral:rRNA from 1 species
GACGAACGCCGUCGGCGUGCUUAACACAUGCAAGUCGAACGGAAAGGCCCUGCUUUUGUGGGGUGCUCGAGUGGCGAACGGGUGAGUAACACGUGAGUAACCUGCCCUUGACUUUGGGAUAACUUCAGGAAACUGGGGCUAAUACCGGAUAGGAGCUCCUGCUGCAUGGUGGGGGUUGGAAAGUUUCGGCGGUUGGGGAUGGACUCGCGGCUUAUCAGCUUGUUGGUGGGGUAGUGGCUUACCAAGGCUUUGACGGGUAGCCGGCCUGAGAGGGUGACCGGCCACAUUGGGACUGAGAUACGGCCCAGACUCCUACGGGAGGCAGCAGUGGGGAAUAUUGCACAAUGGGCGGAAGCCUGAUGCAGCAACGCCGCGUGCGGGAUGACGGCCUUCGGGUUGUAAACCGCUUUCGCCUGUGACGAAGCGUGAGUGACGGUAAUGGGUAAAGAAGCACCGGCUAACUACGUGCCAGCAGCCGCGGUGAUACGUAGGGUGCGAGCGUUGUCCGGAUUUAUUGGGCGUAAAGGGCUCGUAGGUGGUUGAUCGCGUCGGAAGUGUAAUCUUGGGGCUUAACCCUGAGCGUGCUUUCGAUACGGGUUGACUUGAGGAAGGUAGGGGAGAAUGGAAUUCCUGGUGGAGCGGUGGAAUGCGCAGAUAUCAGGAGGAACACCAGUGGCGAAGGCGGUUCUCUGGGCCUUUCCUGACGCUGAGGAGCGAAAGCGUGGGGAGCGAACAGGCUUAGAUACCCUGGUAGUCCACGCUGUAAACGGUGGGUACUAGGUGUGGGGUCCAUUCCACGGGUUCCGUGCCGUAGCUAACGCUUUAAGUACCCCGCCUGGGGAGUACGGCCGCAAGGCUAAAACUCAAAGGAAUUGACGGGGCCCCGCACAAGCGGCGGAGCAUGCGGAUUAAUUCGAUGCAACGCGUAGAACCUUACCUGGGUUUGACAUGGAUCGGGAGUGCUCAGAGAUGGGUGUGCCUCUUUUGGGGUCGGUUCACAGGUGGUGCAUGCCUGUCGUCAGCUCGUGUCGUGAGAUGUUGGGUUAAGUCCCGCAACGAGCGCAACCCUUGUUCACUGUUGCCAGCACGUUAUGGUGGGGACUCAGUGGAGACCGCCGGGGUCAACUCGGAGGAAGGUGGGGAUGACGUCAAGUCCUCAUGCCCCUUAUGUCCAGGGCUUCACGCAUGCUACAAUGGCUGGUACAGAGAGUGGCGAGCCUGUGAGGGUGAGCGAAUCUCGGAAAGCCGGUCUCAGUUCGGAUUGGGGUCUGCAACUCGACCACAUGAAGUCGGAGUCGCUAGUAAUCGCAGAUCAGCAACGCUGCGGUGAAUACGUUCCCGGGGCU